rnacentral:rRNA from 1 species
AGCGUAGGCGGUUCCUUAAGUCGAAUGUGAAAUCUUCUGGCUUAAUCAGAAGUCGUCAUUUGAUACUGAGGGACUUGAGAGCAGCAGAGGGAAAUGGAACCCCCAGUGUAGCGGUGAAAUGCGUAGAUAUUGGGGAGAACACCAGUGGCGAAGGCGAUUUCCCAGGUUGUUUCUGACGCUGAGGCUCGAAAGCGUGGGGAGCGAAGCGGAUUAGAUACCCGCGUAGUCCACGCCCUAAACUGUGGACACUAGAUAUAGGAGGUAUCGACCCUUUCUGUGUCGAAGCUAACGCUUUAAGUGUCCCGCCUGGGGAGUACGGCCGCAAGGCUGAA